rnacentral:rRNA from 1 species
UGAACCAGCCAAGUAGCGUGAAGGAUGACUGCCCUAUGGGUUGUAAACUUCUUUUAUACGGGAAUAAAGUCAGCCACGUGUGGCUUUUUGUAUGUACCGUAUGAAUAAGGAUCGGCUAACUCCGUGCCAGCAGCCGCGGUAAUACGGAGGAUCCGAGCGUUAUCCGGAUUUAUUGGGUUUAAAGGGAGCGUAGAUGGGUUGUUAAGUCAGUUGUGAAAGUUUGCGGCUCAACCGUAAAAUUGCAGUUGAUACUGGCAGUCUUGAGUACAGUUGAGGUAGGCGGAAUUCGUGGUGUAGCGGUGAAAUGCUUAGAUAUCACGAAGAACUCCGAUUGCGAAGGCAGCUUACUGGAUUGUAACUGACGCUGAUGCUCGAAAGUGUGGGUAUCAAACAGGAUUAGAUACCCUGGUAGUCCACACAGUAAACGAUGAAUACUCGCUGUUGGCGAUAUACAGUCAGCGGCCAAGCGAAAGCAUUAAGUAUUCCACCUGGGGAGUACGCCGGCAACGGUGAAACUCAAAGGAAUUGACGGGGGCCCGCACAAGCGGAGGAACAUGUGGUUUAAUUCGAUGAUACGCGAGGAACCUUACCCGGGCUUAAAUUGCAGAUGAAUUACGGUGAAAGCCGUAAGCCGCAAGGCAUCUGUGAAGGUGCUGCAUGGUUGUCGUCAGCUCGUGCCGUGAGGUGUCGGCUUAAGUGCCAUAACGAGCGCAACCCUUGUUGUCAGUUACUAACAGGUUCCGCUGAGGACUCUGACAAGACUGCCAUCGUAAGAUGUGAGGAAGGUGGGGAUGACG